AUCAUGCAGAUAGCUCAGAAGAAGAAGUAAGUUUUUUUUUUAAUUACAAAAGUAAAUAUAUAAUAUAAUAUUUGUUGCUGCCUUGUUCUAUAUAAAUGUUUCUAACAUGCAGGUAACAUUUAUAUAUGUAUUAGUUUGAAUAAAUCAUUUUAAUAAAGUUACAUUAUAGGCAGGAAUGUUUGACUGGAAAUAUAAACGAUGUUGUACAUAAUGCAGAUAGCUUAGGCAAAAAAGAGAUUGGUGAAAUGGAGAAUGAGACUAACUAGGGUGAAAAAAAAUGA
rnacentral:lncRNA from 1 species